CAUAAUUCCACCAUCUGUCUCUGACAUCAUGGGUCAGCAUCAUAAAACAGGAGGUAUUAUUUUUGGAGCCAUAGUACAUUACUGUUUUAAGUGAACUUAAAAUUAAUUGCUCAUGUGUCCCUAAUUGUAAUCAGCUUGUUUUGAUUUGUGAUCUGGAACAGUCUCAAAGUACACUGAAUUACUUGCUGAUGAAAUAAGACCAGAAGCUGCUGUGGAGUAGCAUGGUUAACGUACUGCAUGCUAUCAGAGUGAGAGCAAUCACUUGUCCAGUGCCAAGACUACAAUCAAGAUUAAAACUGGAACUGAUGGAGUUAGUAUGUGGGAGGGAGAGCAAAUCUUUCUGUGUUAAAGCUGCACGUUCCUCUGUCUUUAUGGUGACACCUAAUGCCUAAAGGGGGGAUCCCAUCUCGGCUGCUGUGGAUGCAUGGAGAAUGCAGCAUGUACCUUAAGUCCAUUUCAUGAGGUGUACGAUGCUCAGCUUAUACAGGGUCAUAGGAUCAAUCCCUCCAGAAUCCUGAAAUACGGC
ensembl:lncRNA